UAGGGAAUAUUGGACAAUGGGGGCAACCCUGAUCCAGCAAUGCCGCGUGAGUGAUGAAGGCCUUAGGGUUGUAAAGCUCUUUUACCCGGGAUGAUAAUGACAGUACCGGGAGAAUAAGCUCCGGCUAACUCCGUGCCAGCAGCCGCGGUAAUACGGAGGGAGCUAGCGUUGUUCGGAAUUACUGGGCGUAAAGCGCACGUAGGCGGCUAUUCAAGUUAGAGGUGAAAGCCCGGGGCUCAACCCCGGAACGCCUUUGAAACUAGAUAGCUUGAAUCCAGGAGAGGUGAGUGGAAUUCCGAGUGUAGAGGUGAAAUUCGUAGAUAUUCGGAAGAACACCAGUGGCGAAGGCGGCUCACUGGACUGGUAUUGACGCUGAGGUGCGAAAGCGUGGGGAGCAAACA
rnacentral:rRNA from 1 species